GCGGGUUCUCCCGCCAGAGGAUACAUCAAAACUCCUGUUUUAACGGUGUUGUCUGAGCUACAAGCAACGAAUCAAAACUUUCAACAACGGAUCUCUUGGUUCUGGCAUCGAUGAAGAACGCAGCGAAAUGCGAUAAGUAGUGUGAAUUGCAGAAUUCAGUGAAUCAUCGAAUCUUUGAACGCACAUUGCGCCCCUUGGUAUCCCGAGGGGCAUGCCUGUUCGAGCGUCAUUUCACCACUCAAGCCUGGCUUGGUGUUGGGCGACGUCCCCUUUAGGGACGCGCCUUGAAACGCUCGGCGGCGUGGCACCGGCUUUAAGCGUAGCAGAAUCUUUCGCUUUGAAAGUCGGGGCCCCGUCUGCCGGAAGACCUACUCGCAAGGUUGACCUCGGAUCAGGCAGGGAUACCCGCUGAACUUAAGCAUAUCAAUAAGCUACAUUCUGUGUAUCAGACUAAAUAUACCCAUUCUGAGUACCUUGCCUGUUGCUUCCAUGGAGCCUGACACAUGUCACUCUGGGGAUUUACAUCCCGAGGGAGCCUCCGUGGAAGGUAAUCUAUUAACUCUUGAAUCCAAUGUCAUCUGUCUGAUAAUGUUUAUAACAAAUGUUAAAACUUUCAACAACGGAUCUCUUGGUUCUCGCAUCGAUGAAGAACGCAGCGAAAUGCGAUAAGUAGUGUGAAUUGCAGAAUUCAGUGAAUCAUCGAAUCUUUGAACGCACAUUGCGCCUCCUGGUAUUCCGGGAGGCAUGCCUGUUCGAGCGUCAUUAAAUACCACUCAAGCUCUUCUGCUUGGUCAUGGAAGAAGAGAAUGCUUGCAUCCUCUCUUCUGAAAUCGAACGGCGGACUGCCUCAUGUGCCUCGCGUAGUAAGUUCAUCUUUUCGCUUGGAGUGUGAGAUAGUCUCGCCAUCAACCCCCAUACUUCUAAGGUUGACCUCGGAUCAGGUAGGGAUACCCGCUGAACUUAAGCAUAUCAAUAAGCGG
rnacentral:rRNA from 1 species